UUAAUUAAAGCCAAAGAGAGGCGUAUCGCUGUUAACGAUAUAAUUAAACUUUUAUAGUUUUAAUUAAA
rnacentral:tRNA from 1 species